GACGAACGCUGGCGGCGUGCUUAACACAUGCAAGUCGAACGAUGACGACCGAGCUUGCUCGGUCUGAUUAGUGGCGAACGGGUGAGUAACACGUGAGCAACCUGCCCUUCACUCUGGGAUAACCUCGGGAAAUCGGGGCUAAUACCGGAUAUGAGCUCCUGUCGCAUGGCGGGUGUUGGAAAGUUUUUCGGUGAAGGAUGGGCUCGCGGCCUAUCAGUUUGUUGGUGAGGUAGUGGCUCACCAAGGCGAUGACGGGUAGCCGGCCUGAGAGGGCGACCGGCCACACUGGGACUGAGACACGGCCCAGACUCCUACGGGAGGCAGCAGUGGGGAAUAUUGCACAAUGGGCGAAAGCCUGAUGCAGCGACGCCGCGUGAGGGAUAACGGCCUUCGGGUUGUAAACCUCUUUCAGCAGGGAAGAAGCGAAAGUGACGGUACCUGCAGAAGAAGCGCCGGCUAACUACGUG
rnacentral:rRNA from 1 species